GUAGAUUUUGUCUCUUGGCUGUAACAACAAAUUGUGUAGUCGCCUUGUGAACUGCUAGUAUUUCAGUUAAAUAUAUUGAUUCAAGUAAUACUGGAUUACGUUAGGUGCAAAAAUCAGGAUUUAACCGAUUGAGGACGUCACACUAUGCAGCAUGGAAAUGGAAAAUGUUAAUGGAAAUUGUUCAGUACCAGCUCAGGACAAGUGUUCAGUCAACAGUUGCUCCCAAUCCAGUUCUACACUGCCAAAUGAGGAAAGGAUGAGUGAUUGUAUGGACGAGUGUUCAACUCAUGAAGUUUGGUGUAGGUGCCAGAGUAGUAUCCCACAUGAUUUAAAACAGAACUUUCAAUGCAUGGAGAAAGGUGUUUCUGAAUUUGAACAGCAGCCACAUCAUUCACCAAAAGAUUUUCAUGAUCAUCAACCCAAAAAGAAGUUAAAAUUGCCACAAGGUGACAACUGUUUAAAUACAGCAUCUGAUGCUGACAGUAAGGAUAGCUGGGAGGAUAUUCCAUCAGCUGAAAACUGCAUUGGUGUCAGGUUCAAAAGUGUCAAGAAGCAAAAUACUUCAAUCUUAAAAUAUAAAAAAUGUAGGAAUCUUUUUGGGAAAAGUGCCUUACAAACAAAUAGUAAAACACGCACAGGAAAAAAGUUUCCCAGAUGUCAGACACAAAGCAGCGCUGAUGAAUUUGAUCAGAAAAAAGAGUCUAGAUGUGCAACAUCUGCACCAGAGGCAGCACCCAAAAAAGGUCUACUUUGUCAUGAGAGGUGUGACUGUGAUCCAGACAACACACUGUCUGAUGGUGAGCUCUACAUUGAUGAGUCAGAUGGAACAGAAAAACACAUCUACAUCGACAGAUCUGUUGAUAAGACCAUUGAACAGAAUGCUGCAAAAAAUAAUCUCACGACCAGCAAUGUCAAGAGCAUUUUACGGUCACUAAUCACCCAUGAGCUUGUACAAACCAUGCUGAAAAACACACUGGAGAGUUCAACUGUAAAGCAGGCUGGGACAGUAUAUGAGCCGAAACUGACAAGGUCCAAGAUGAAGGAAGUGCUGGAAAAGGGCAGCGAAGCUUGUCUGUGGCCUGUCUCUCCAGCAAAAUUAGGCCAAUCUUCAACUUCAGGUCCUAGCAUUCUUGAUGUUGACUUCAGUGAUGAGGAAGAUGAAGAAGAUGAUGAAUACAAGCCUGAUAAAGACAUUGAGGAAUUUGAAACUGAUGAUGAGAGUGUUAUUUCAUCGCAAGCAAGUGAGUUUGGUUCCCCUGUCUGUUCAACACCUCAUCGACCUGUAACACCACUAUCUGUGUCAGACACGAGCUGCUCUAAGACUCCUAUUCCUGCGAGUUGUGCACAGGCCCAUUGACAGUCUGAUGGGUCCCCCAUCCGAUCUUCCUGCCAGGCAAUUUGUCCGUCAUGCUCUACAGUUCAGUUCAGAAGACCUUGAGAAGGCUUCAGAGACCACACAGGAGACCAAUAGGGAUGUCAUUGCUGAGCGGACUCGAUC